rnacentral:rRNA from 1 species
CGUAGGGGGCGAGCGUUGUCCGAAGUUACUGGGCGUAAAGCGCGCGUAGGCGGUCCUUUAAGUUGAUUGUGAAAUCUUCACGGCUCAACCGGAAAACUGCGGUCAAAACUGGAGGACUUGAGAUUGGGAGAGGGAAGUGGAAUUCCUGGUGUAGCGGUGAAAUGCGUAGAUAUCAGGAGGAACACCAAUGGCGAAGGCAGCUUCCUGGUCCAAUUCUGACGCUGAGGUGCGAAAGCGUGGGUAGCGAACGGGAUUAGAUACCCCGGUAGUCCACGCCGUAAAUGAUGGAUACUAGGUGUAAGAGGUAUCGACCCCUCUUGUGCCGCAGCUAACGCAUUAAGUAUCCCGCCUGGGGAGUACGGCCGCAAGGUUG